rnacentral:misc_RNA from 1 species
GAACAAAGAGACCUACUGUAAGUAAAAAUUUGUGUCCAGGAUAUAGGAUUUUUUUCCUUCUUUCCUAUUUUUUUUGCAAGAAUAAGUAUCAAUCAAGUGUGGUCUUGGGAUUGACUUUUCUAUCUGAGUUUCAAAAAAUCAUUUACUUAGGAAACCAUUUUAUUUUAUAUAUGCCCACUGUCUCACUCUGAUCUCUUUUACAAUUUAUCCUGUUUAUAGCGUUCAAACUUAAAUGAUUUAUUGAGAUCUCUAUAUGUAAACAUGAGUUUGAAUUUUG